rnacentral:lncRNA from 1 species
UGGCAAAUCAACAAAAUUAAAAAAUUCCUUAUCCUCGGGAUAGAGAUGUUCCCUAAAAUCCGGUAUGGUUUCUUGUAUGCCUCCAACUAAAACAUGACACACCAUUAGAGGACAAAUAUCCCAAAUACCAAAACAAAUAGACCAUAUGUGACCAAAAAAUAGAAUGUUCUUUCCCAAAGCUAUAGACAGAAAGAAUGUGAACCUUGACUGCAAAUAUAAUCAGGUUCCAUAGGUUAUCUCCUGUGUAAUAUCCAAACACAAGAGACUAAGGACCUGACAAAAGUAGAUGUUGCGUAUCAAAAUCAAACAAAGAUCGAAAUGAGAAGAGUAUUGAUUUUGUGUAGCUUAAUCGAGAUCGCCAGAUAAAAAUCAUCUAAGCACAUAUUCUAGUCAUAGUAAAGAUCACCAGAUAAAAAUACAAUAACAACUAAUUGCAAGUUCUUGUGCUCAAUUAGACUCCCACUUAUGCCAUGUUCUUGCACUAAGAAUUAAUAUAUAGGAUGCAGAGUCAAGAUAGACGGCUAAGAUAACAUGAUUACGGUAAUUAAAAAGACACCUCAUAAGAACAUGAGAUAACAAAGAUAGUUUCUAGCUGUUACAUAGCAAAGUGUGUACCAUGCUCGAGGCAGUGUAAAUAAAAAUGAAGAUAGAAGUCCCUCAGUACGAGUUAAGCAAAGAGAUAUUCUAGAAUCUCGAGUGUUCUUAGUUAAUGCACGUCGAUACAUUUACAUGACACUACAUUUACAAUUUUCAAGAGAGAAAAUUCAAAGAAUUAACCGAAGCACAAAGGAUACAUAACAGAGUUCAAGCCGGUGUUUGUUAGGAACUAAGAAAUAUGUGGUGUUCAACCAAGCACUUGGGCUUGAGUAAUAAACAAGCUCCUGCUAAGGAACGAAAGUCCAAGAAAUACUGAGUUCGAUUCCUGGUGAGAACAAUGCUUGGCCAAUGUCAUGACCUCUCAGCACGAACUCUGGAUUCAAUUUUAUGUACAUCACCAAAUAAAUGAAGGGUAUAGAAAAGCAUCCCCAUGUCCUUCAAAGCGACCAAAAGUCUAAAAUAUAUGUUUUUCCCAAUACUAUGCAGGCCCACUCAAACCAUCAUAGAAUUAUCUAUAAAAACAAUUUCUAUAAUCCAAAACAAAGACAUAUAUAAGUUAGAAAAAAAUCAUGUAUAACCUCUACCAAAACUCACAAUACACCAGACCAUGCAACAUUCUCUAUCGAAAUCGACAACUAAAACACUACAAUAAAAUAUUAUUCAAAAUUCAAAAUUUAUAUUCCUCUCCAAAACAAUAGGUCACUCAUCUAUGAUAUCUGGUAGACGGCUAGAAAAAAUUUCAGUCUCAAACAUAAUACAUAACACUUAGACACAUAGAAGAAGACAACAACUGAUAUUGAAUGGGUUGCCGUUUCUUACAUGAAACUAGAAGUGUAAUUCUCCAAACCAAGUGGCAAAUCAGAGGAACAAAGUGAUUACACCAAGCCAUUCUCCAUCUACAGAAAAGCAUGCUGCUUAUUAUGUUGAGAAAAUAGAACCUUACACCACUGUGACAGAGAUGUCAAUAAAAAAAAGGGAAAAGGGCCAAGUGUAAUUUUGCAAAUUAAGUGGCAUGUCAGAAGAACGAAGUGAUUCCACCAAGUUAUUCUUCCUUACACGACUAUGACAGAGAUGUCAUUAAAAAAAAGGAGGAAAAGGGAAAUGUAAUUUUGCAAACCAAGAAAUGAUUCCACAGUUAUUCUUCCUGUCUAGAAGAGUAAAGUAACUAAGAAUGCACAUAAAUAAAAUAGGCUCUUCAGAAUCAAUUAAACUUAAAAAACAAAAAACAGAGGAUAAAACAUAGAAAGAUGAAAACCAACAGAAUAGAAAAGCGUCGAGCCUCCCGAAUUCCUCAUCUUUAGUACAAUCCUGAUACAAAAACACAAACUCCAAGAUUACCAGGACAAACCAUCAAAGGACAAAUAUCCCCAAUCCCAAAACAAAUAUUUAAAAUAGUGACGGGUUUUAUCCCAAGGUUGAAUGGACAAAAUGUGGUAACCUCUACUUGCCACAGGCCAAAGCACACCAUAAAUCAAGUAAACUUAAUAGCAUAAUUCUACUGUGACAAAUGAGUUAUAGGAAAAUAACCAAUUAAACUUAAUAGCAUAAUUCUACUGUGACAAAUGAGUCAUAGAAAAAUAACCAAGAAGAAAGAAAGAAUAAUAGCAUAAUUCUUUAAACCACCAAGUCGCAUAACAGCAUAACAAAGUGAGGCCCACCAAGCUGCCCCAACUUCAUGCAGUACAUCAAAACCCAUGUAACGCUUACUAUGUCAAUACAUGAUAGAUAUACAAUAAAUUGUGCUGAGACAAGCUUGUAGAAAAAGAACCAAGAAGAAAGAAAGAAAGAAUAAUCGCAUAAUUUUUCAAACCACCAAGUCGCAGAUCAGCAUAACAAAGAGAGGCCCAACAAGCUGCCCCAACUUCUCCGGAAUUACGGAACUUAUUCCCUGUCAGAAUACAGAUCAAAAACCCAAAUGUAUAACUAACAUUUGUAAAAGAGAAGUAAUACUGCUGGUAAGAAUCCCUAAAGCUGAACUUUUCAAUUAAACCUCAAUAGAAUUUUCUCAACGGAAACAGCCAAGUGCAAAUCAUUAAGGAGUAAAUCAAGAAUCUGGUUAAAUUACGUCAUUACACUCUAAUAGGACAUCUAUUAUUCAAAUGUACAUUCAAGGGGAAAAAAUGACUGGUUAAAUGCAAAGGUUAAAAUUCCAUGAUACAUUCAUAGCCUCUCUCCAACGAAUCAUCGAGCAAAAUGUCCACGACAAUCAUGUAAGAAUAUUCCAUAUGACGUCUACAGGAAACUUAUGAAGAAACCCCAAAAAAAUAAGAUCUUAACAUAUAUACAAAGAAACAUGACAAAUUAAUAGUCAUAGAAGAGAUCACCCGAUGAAAGUACAACAACAACAAUGCAGCCUCUUGUGUCAUUUAGGCUCCCCUUUUGCCAAGUUCUUACACCAGUUGCAGAUUCUGUGAGGGAUACCCAUAUGGGAGAGAAGAUUUUUAGUUUCAUAACCUCUCUCCCAUGAAACAUCAAGCAGAAUGUCUCCACGAAAGUCACGACAAUCAUCUAAGCACAUAUUCCAUGCGACGCCUACAUGGAACUCGCAAAGAAAUCGAUAAAACAAGACCUUAAUAUAUAGAAAGAAACAUGAAUAAUUAGUAGUCAUAGGAGUGAUCACCAUACGAAAGUACAACAAUCAAUCAAUUGUAGGCUCUUGUGCUCAAUUAGGCUCCCCUUAUGCCAAGUUCUUGCACCAAUUGUAGAUUCUCUAUAGGGGAGAAGAUUUUUAGUUUAGUCUUAUAAAUCACAUAUGACAAGAAUAAAAAUGAAAAAAUAAAUUAUAACAAAGUAAAUGGCAAUAUAAUCCCAUAACGAAAAGAAAAAAAAAACUAAUAGCGAUCUUCUUGAUAGUAGCAUGUAGAAGAAUACAAGAACCACGGACCCUAAAAUCAAUGCAAUGAGAGAACCUUGAAGGAUGGUUAUAUAGGAUGCAGAGUCAAGAUAGACGGCUAAGAUAACACGAUUGAAGUAAUUAAGAAGACUCCUCGCAAGAAAAGUGAGUUAACGAAGACAAUUUCCAACUGCUUCAUAGCAAAGUGUGUACCAAGCUCGAUGCAGUGUAAAUAAGAAUGAAGAUAGAAGUCCCUCACUGUAGGUUAAGCAAAGAGAUAUAUUCUAGAAUCUUGAGUGUUUGUUAUGUCAAGACUUAAAUUCAUGGAUUGCCUCUCCUUUCUCUCCCAUGAAUCAACUGAACUUAAAAAUCAAGGAUAAAACAAAGAAAGAUGGAAACUAACAGAACAAAAAAAAAACCUUCUGAAUUCAUCAUCUUCAGUGCAGGUAGAAAGAUAUACUCUAGAAUCUUGUAUGCUUCAACGUUCCAAUUUUUGGAAGAGCGGAGUUAGCCCAUUAUCUUGUAUGCUCUAAACCAAAGUAAAAUUCAUGUUACAAAUAUAGAAACAUAAUCGCGUAUUAUAGAAUAAUGCAUAAUUUUAUCCCAAAUACGAUAGGAAUCAAGCGUGUAUGAUGAAACAAAAUACUGAGCUGUAAAGAAUUCAUAAUCUGAGUAGAGAUCACCAAAUUAAAACACACAUCCACAUAUCAUUAUGGUUCACAUGUCCUUGUUGAUUCGAUCACAGAAGGAGAGUAAUACAAAGCAGAAGAAAUACUCGUCUCCAAUCUUUCCUCUUCGGAUGAUGAAUCAAAGAAGAGCAGUAUGAUUAUGAAUCUUUAUGUAGUACAUCAAACGCAUGUAACACUUUAUUCUGUGACAAAUGAGUUGUAGAAAAAGAACAAAGAAGAAAGAAAGAAUAAUAGCAUAAUUCUUCAAACCACCAAGUCGCAUAACAAAGAGAGGCCCACCAAGCUGCACCAACUUUAUGUGGUACAUCAAAACUCAUGUAACACUUACUCUGUCAACAUAUGAUAGAUAUAAAAAAAAAUUAUGUUGUGACAAAUUAAUUGUAGAAAAAGAACCAAGAAAGAAGAAGAAUUGCAUAAUUCGUCAAACCACCAAGUUGCAGAUCAGCAUAAUAAAGAGAAGCCCACCAAGUUUCCCCAACUCCUCCAGAAUUACGGAAACUUAUUCCCUGUCAAAAUACAGAAAAACCAUAGAGACUCUUCUCGAAUACGGGCAAUUAUUCCCUGCUAGUAACAUCAGUUGAACUUUUCACUGAANCCAUUAUCUUGUAUGCUCUAAACCAAAGUAAAAUUCAUGUUACAAAUAUAGAAACAUAAUCGCGUAUUAUAGAAUAAUGCAUAAUUUUAUCCCAAAUACGAUAGGAAUCAAGCGUGUAUGAUGAAACAAAAUACUGAGCUGUAAAGAAUUCAUAAUCUGAGUAGAGAUCACCAAAUUAAAACACACAUCCACAUAUCAUUAUGGUUCACAUGUCCUUGUUGAUUCGAUCACAGAAGGAGAGUAAUACAAAGCAGAAGAAAUACUCGUCUCCAAUCUUUCCUCUUCGGAUGAUGAAUCAAAGAAGAGCAGUAUGAUUAUGAAUCUUUAUGUAGUACAUCAAACGCAUGUAACACUUUAUUCUGUGACAAAUGAGUUGUAGAAAAAGAACAAAGAAGAAAGAAAGAAUAAUAGCAUAAUUCUUCAAACCACCAAGUCGCAUAACAAAGAGAGGCCCACCAAGCUGCACCAACUUUAUGUGGUACAUCAAAACUCAUGUAACACUUACUCUGUCAACAUAUGAUAGAUAUAAAAAAAAAUUAUGUUGUGACAAAUUAAUUGUAGAAAAAGAACCAAGAAAGAAGAAGAAUUGCAUAAUUCGUCAAACCACCAAGUUGCAGAUCAGCAUAAUAAAGAGAAGCCCACCAAGUUUCCCCAACUCCUCCAGAAUUACGGAAACUUAUUCCCUGUCAAAAUACAGAUCAAAAACCAUAGAACUACUUCUCCGGAAUUACGGAAACUUAUUCCCUGUCAGAAUACACAUCAGUUGAACUUUUUCAACUGAAACAGCCAAGUGCAAAUCAUUAAGGAGCAAAUCAAGAUGUUGUGCAAUAAUGAGAAUCUGAAGAAAUGAAAAUAAUUCACAAUUCAUGUAGAGGGCUUGAUUCAGAUAUCCAGAAAUCAAAUCGCCGCAAAAUGGGUAAAUGCAUAUCUCAAUAUCCUUUAAUAUUUAAGAGCAUAACCCAAUCAUUGAAUAAUGAUAGAGUCGAGGAAACUAGAUCCUCAAUAAAAACCGAGCAAUGUGAAGAGAACUCGUGAACAAUUUAAGAAAAUAAGACCUUCAACUAAGACAAAGAAAAGUGAAGAAUUUAAAAUUGGAGUAGAGCACACCAAAUGAAAUUGUAGAAUCUGAUGCUACAUAGGCUCCCACAGCUAUACUCCAAAUCAGAGUGAUAAUGUUUUGGGAGAAAAUAUUCCUAUUCUUAUAAAUAGAAAAUGAUAUAAGAAAAAACAUAUAACAAAGGAAGUGGAAAACCAAUGGAACAAAACAAGGCCAAACCAAGCUUUCCGAAAUUCUCUAACCUUGGCGUGCUGGCAGACAAAUCUUAUAUGCUUCAGCAUUCCUCCACUUGAUACGAAAACUCCCAACACAAUCAAGACACACCUUCAAAGAACAAAUAUCCAAUUGCAAAACAGAUACAAAUGUGAGAAAAAAGGCUGGUUUCGUCCAAAAGAUUGAAAGGAUAUUGUAUUGUAUGUUAACCUCUGCUUGCAACAGAGCCAAGGCACACCAAAAUUUAUAACAGCCCCAAACUAAGCUUACUAAAAUUCUCCAUCCACGGCGCUAGAAAACAAAUCUUGUAUGCUUCUAUAUUGUAACACCAAAAUGAAAAUUCAAAAGAACUGAGAAAAGUAAAGCAUACAACACAGCCUGCAGAACAUGCUGGUUGUUUGGAACAGAUGACUAUCCAAUUUGCAAUAUCUUGUCCUCAACACAGCCUGCAGAACAUGCUGGUUUGGAACAGAUGACUAGCCAGGGGAUAUUGAUUUAGGAGUACAAGUCACAAAUCACAAUCAAAACAAUAAACAAUAAAAGAAUAUCGCCACUCUUUUGCCAAUGUAUCCCCAACAAACAGAUAGUCAAAGCAAAUAACACCAACCAAGAUGUCCAUUUCUCUUUUAGAACUACCUUUUUUGAAUUCUCUAAUUCUCGUUCUACAAAAGUAACAGGCCUGUUGUCCAUUUCUACAAACACUGCUUGCAUCUUCUUGUAGAUUUCAAUGUUACUAGCUUUCUUUUGCACUUUCAACCAUUUUAUACUGAUCAUCAGACCCUUGAGAACUGCAAGGCUCUGGGUGUGCAUAGGGCUGUUGAGGAAGAACACCAUUUGAAGGUGUUAAUCCAAGUAGUCCACCAAGCAAAGUCUGAAAUGUUUAUUCAUAACAAUGAAUUAGGUAUGAUUAUAUUAGUGAUGAUGAGUUUCAUAAUUGGUAUAUAUCGAUAGAUACCGUGAAUCCGAGUAAGAAUAUGUCAUAAUGAUAUGCAGAAGGUUUCUUGAGAUUGAAUUCUUUCAGUUGUGCCAUCCCAGAAGCAACAGUACCAUCAAGGCAGGAAUAAAAGCAGAAAAAAUCUAUGUUGGAGAAACCUUCCCCAUGUCAUGUGUCAUAUGUUAAAAUCUAUUAUUAGUUAUUUUGCGAUUUCAGGAGUCCUUAUUGAAAGAAAACCCAAACUAGGGUUUAUUUGCACGUGAAUUACUUCGGUAACUGUCAAAUGGUGUAAAUAUGUAGGGGACAUCAAAGUCAUGUAACAUUAAAAGGCUCACCAGAAAUGUGCAAACUUUUUUACUGUCAAAUUAUAGAUCAAAAACCCAAAUUUAGAACAUACACUUUUGUGGGAAAAAAGUAGUAUUGACGGGAAAAACCCCUAAGGCUGAACUAUAUCAUUAAACAUCAAAAUCAAAUCACUUAUCCAAGUAAAAAUCAUAACAGAGUAAAUCAGGAUGAAGUGCAAUAAAAAUCAAAACAAAAUAAACCUGGGGAUUGAUUCUACACAAUGUUAUUGUUUCAAAACAAAACUCUGCAGAAGAAGAAAAAAAGAAUCAUUUCAGUUCAUAUGUAUGGCGAUGAAUACCAGAAGCGAAUACAAAACAUGAAGGCCAAAACAACAGAAAACAAAACAAAGUACGUGUGUUCACAAAAUUACCUUUCCUGCAACAUCAGAGAAAAUAAUAAAUUAAGAAAAAUAUUAUUUAACAAUUGUUGUAAAGCAGACAAUUUUGAAAGAAAUCAUCAAAUCAAAACUCAGAGGCUCCACUCUAUUGGGAGAUAGUUAUUAUUUAACAAUUGUUGAAAACUAGAUAGAUUUUAAAAGAAAUCACCAAAACAAAACUCAGAGACUCAACUUGAUAAUGAAAGAUAGAGAUUAUUUUGACAAACCAUUGCAGAAAAACAAGUUCACAAUUCGAUUUGUAUGUAAUGUGAUCAAAGCCGGAAAAUAAAAAUGAUAUAGAAUGACUGAAUGGAGGAAUUGAUUUAUAUCGGUAGCUCUUGUUCUUAUCCACACUAUUAAGAAUUGCCAACAUGCUGCAACAAGGAUAAACACAUCUCAAUACUAUCUUACUUUAAAAAGUAUUGCUUGAUUAUCAAAUGAAUAACUGUCCAUAAAAAACUAUGCAUUAAAUCAAAGAUAAUUGGAAGAACUAUGCAUUAAAUCAAAGAUAACUGGAAGAACAAUCAAUCAAAACCCGAACAACUCAUCAUUAGUGGCAAAUCAUUAAUAUAAAAUCAGAAAACUCCAAUAUCUAUACAAUCAAGAGAAUCAAUGAAAUCAAAAUAAUCCACAAUCCAAGAAGAGUGUAUCAAAAUAAACCUAAUUGCUUUAUAUUACACAACCAUAUUUUUAAAAAUAUUGCACAAUCCAAGAAGAGUAUUACAAUAAACUUGAUUGCUUGAUACUACAAGUGAUUUAGCAGUUCACGAAUUCAAUAAAGGAUGAUAAACAUGUAAAUGUAUCAAGAUUGCAACACAUAACCAAUAUUUGAUACUCUACUGGCAACACCUUAUAGCAGAAAUUUCGCAUCAAAACUCCACUGUACUGCUAACAAAGGAAUACAUGAUCAAAAGAAGAAGAAUAUUUGAAGAACUCAAUAUUGUAGCAAAUCAUUAAAGUUAAAGAGGAAACUCAUGCUGAGCAUAACUGCAUUGGCAUUUAAAUUCGUAGAGAAGAAUUUAAUAGAGAUCACCAAAUCUAAAAACUAGGUUGGAGAAUUUAUAUAUUGUCUCACCUUACAGUGACAAAUAGGAAAAUAACAACAAAUCAAGAAUCAUCUGCUCUCAGAAUUGAUAAAGAAAUAUUGACAAUAAAAGAAUUUAUAAAAUCAUAUUCAGAUUUGGCAAGGGUUGUUUCUUCCUUCCUUAAGCCCCAUUGAUAGUUUACAAUCUUCUUAUUUCCAAUUUAUAAAAUCUCAUCUAAUAAAAUAAUAUAAAUAAUAAUAAUAAUAAUAAUACUAUAAUAAUAAUAAUAAUAAUAUAAUAAUAAUAAUAAUAGUGCUUAUAUGGAUAUCGUACAAUAUUGCAUUGACAUUUAUCUUCGGAGAAAGAAUACAACUUCACAAGAGAAAUUCAAAAGAAAGAGUGAAUCAUAUAUAAAUUUCAGAUAUUUGGUAAUGUUUGCAUGUAGCAAAACAGACACAUCUCGACUUAGCCAAGAAAGAAAUGGAUAUGUACUACAUAACCGUAAAUACUGAAGCUCUUCUAAUACUUGCAUUCCUUCUUCAAAACACAAAAAUCAACAUUACCUCAUUACACUCUCAUAGGACACCUAUACUUCAAAUGUACAUUCAAGGGAAAAAAUGACUCGUUGAAUGCAAAGGUUCAAUUCCACAAUACACUCAUAGCCUCUCUCCAAUGAAUCAUCAAACAAAAUGUCCACGACAAUCAUCUAAGCAGUAUUCACAAUAAAUAUUCCAUAUGACAUCUACAGGGAAUUUACGAAGAAAUCCCAAAAAUAAGAUCUCAACAUAUUAUACAAAGAAACAUGAAGAAUUAAUAGUCAUAUGAGAGAUCACCAGAUGAAAGUACAAAAACAACCAAUUGCAGCCUCUUGUUCUUAAUUAGGCUCCCCUUAUACCAGGUUCUUGCACCAGUUGCAGCUGAGGGAUAAGAGAAGACUUUUGGUUUAGUCUUGUACAUCACAUAUGACAAUAAAAAUGAAAAUAUAAAAAAUAAAUUAUAACAAAGGAAAUGGCAAACCAACAACAAAAAGAGGUGCAAAAAAACUGCAGAAUUCCUUAUCCUCGAGAUAGAGAUGUUCCUGAGAAUUGGGUAUGGUUUCUUGUAUGCCUCCAACUAAAACAGGACACACAAUUAGAGGACAAAUAUCCCAAAUACCAAAACAAAUAGACUAUAUGUAACUAAAAAAUUGAAUUUUCUUUCCCAAAGCUAUAUACAGAAAGAAUGUGAACCUCUGACAGCAGCUAUAAACAAAAGGAAUGUGAAGCUCGGACUGCCACAGGUUCCCCAGAAAACGAGACAUUUAUAGGUUAUCUCCUGUGUAACGUCCACACACAAGAGACUAAGGAUCUGACAAAAGUAGAUGUUGACUUGAGUAUCAAAACCAAACAAAGAUUGAAAUGAGAAGAGCAUUAGUAGAGAUGACCAAGCUAGAGCGUAGCAACAGAGGGAGUAUAUAGUCCCCAAAAUAUGAUUGAUCAAGGAACUUUGAACAUUAGAACUUGCUAGAUGCAAACAUGUUACGGAAGGUUCAACCAACAGUAAUAUUUAAAAUACUAGGAAAAUGCAAUAUGAAAGUGGGAAACCAAUUUUUAGUUAAGGUAACUGGCUUUAUGUAUAUCAGUUCAAACCUGAGUAAGUAGACAAAAGAAAAUAUUGCUCACGAUCCAUGUUACACAAGAAAUGCUGUAAAACAUAGCAGUACAAUAACCCAUCGCUUAGGAAACCUGAGUAAGUAGAUAACCCCAGAAAAAAGAGGCCUGAAUGAGGCCCACUGUUGCACUGUUCCAGUUGAACUCUUGAGACAUUGGAAGUAUUGCUACACUCAUAUUUACCCACAAAAAGGGAAAUGUACAGCAUAUAUCAGUAUCAUUAGGUUAGUAAGAUUGUGGAAAUAUAGAAACAAUUAAUCAAAUAUACACAAACGCCUGAUAUAAAUAGCAUUGUAACUGAAGCUAUAAACAAAAGAAAAUAUUGCUCACGCAAUCCAUGUUACACAAGAAAUGCUGUACAACAUAGCAGUACAAUAACCCAUCGCUUAGGAAACUGCUGCCGCCAAGGAGAUAUUUGAUUAAGAUUUCCUUCCAGAAGAAUGGCUUCACCAGUCCCUUCAGUUGAUCGCCUAUCAAUCAUCGUUUCUCCAAUGUCAUUAUCCUCAGACUUGUAACAAGCACAAAACAUAUUUACUUUCCUUUGUCCAACAUCGCUACUGCCAAAUGGAGCUGAAGAAAGGUAAGAAUAACUUCGUUGGGGGGUCGGCGUCAUCUCUCCCUCACGAGUUGGAUGUGUCUGACCCACGAAAGAGUCGCCCUUCACAUAUUUCUUAAGGUGUGCCUAUCGAUUUCUUGCACCAAUUGCAGAUUCGCUGAGGGAUACGCAUAUGGGAGAGAAGAUUUUUAAUUUCGCCUUAUAUAUCACAUAUGACAAGAAUAAAAAUGAAAAAAGAAAAAAGAAAUUAUAACAAAGAAAAUGGCAAAUCAACAAAAUUAAAAAAAUCCUUAUCCUCGGGAUAGAGAUGUUCCCUAAAAUCCGAUAUGGUUUCUUGUAUGCCUCCAACUAAAACAUGACACACCAUUAGAGGACAAAUAUCCCAAAUACCAAAACAAAUAGACCAUAUGUGACAAAAAAAUUGAAUGUUCUUUCCCAAAGCUAUAGAUAAAAAGAAUGUGAACCUUGACUGCAGAUAUAAUCAGGUUCCAUAGGUUAUCUCCUGUGUAACAUCCAAACACAAGAGACUAAGGACCUGACAAAAGUAGAUGUUGCAUAUCAAAUCAAACAAAGAUCGAAAUGAUAAGAGUAUUGAUUUUGUGUAGCUUAAUCGAGAUCGGAAGAGAAUUGUGCAGCAAAAGCUUCUAAUUCUGAGAAUUGUGCUAAUUCCAAUUUUAAUUUACCCGCUACUUGUUUCAUGGCUUUUAUUUGAGCCGCCAAUCCAACUCUGGAAUCGGAAAUACCCACAUUAAUUAAGGUCUGAUCCCAGCAUUGAAUAGAAAUGACAUUAGUAGGAAUAUAAGUUGAAACAUCUCCGGAUUAGGUCUCAACUAUUGGUAAAGCAGUCAUACUUCCUUCACCUAACUGAGAACUUAGUAGAGAUGACCAAACUAGAGUGUAGCAGCAGAGAGAGUACAUAGCCCACCAAACUAGAGUGUAGCAACAGAGAGAGUACAUAGCCCACAAAGUAUGAGGAUUCAUAGGGAACAAAAUAUUCCGCCCAACUAAAGAGAUCAUGUAAUGAUAAUUUUGGUUUCAUCCUAAUAGAAAGUCUUUGGGCCACUGCAACAGAGAGGAUAUCUUUUUAGGAGUAUGUAUCAUAAUCAUCUUAAAUCACAAAAAAAACAAUAAACAGUAAGAUAUAGAAAACCUAUCCAGAAAAAGUUAAGUUCUCCCCAUCCAACCAACCAUCAUAACAAACAAAACAUCUUAUAAAAAAUUCCUCAACUUGGAAGUGGAAAAGUAAUCCCAUAAUCUUGAAUGUUAAGCCAGACUAUAACUCAGUUCCUAGUAUAGAAACGCACAAAAGCUUCACUGCCCGAAGAAAUGCAAAAACUUAGACACAAGCAUGUAAGUAAAAAAAAAAUCACAGAUCCUCAAAAGAAGAUCUCCAUGCCUACACUUUGAGAACAGCAAUCAACACAAGAAAACAAGAACAAAAAACCUGAAAUCAAAGCACAGCAAGAAAUGUGAAGUUAAUGGCAUCCACUAACUGAGAAAAGGUAUCAAUACGAAAAUCCCUAACAACCUCGUUCAUAGCAGCCGGUCCAAGAAAUCAAGAACAACAAAACCUGAAAUCAAGCCUUCGCGGAGCAAACAACUCGCCAACUCAUCAGGUAAUCAAGAAAAGAGAGAAAGUAUGGCACAAGAACGAGAACAAGCAAACUAUGGAAUCAAGAAAUCAAAACCAUACCCUCUCCUGCAACCACCAAAGGCUCUAAGGAGGAGAAAAACAGGUUCACUAUUUAAUGAAGAAAUCUGAAACUAUUUCUCGUUCUUAGGUUAUCUCCUGUGUAACAUCCAAACACAAGAGACUAAGGAUUUGACAAAAGUAGAUGUUG